AUUUCCCGUGCCAGGACUGGGCAACGCUCUCCCUGCAGCUCCUGAAAAUUCCAGUGCUGUUCAAUUCCAGCUGGAGAGAGCAGCAGAGAGUCCUGGAGGUUGCACCCGGAGCAGCAUUCCCGGGAUAUCCUCAUUCCCAGGGAACUUGGGGAGGCUCUGCCUUCCCAGGUCACCCCAAAAGAGCUUCUGGAGUCUCUCCCUGCACACAAAACCUCCCCGUGGGAAUUCUCCUUCCCUGUUUUCCGCUCCCUGGCACAGGCAGCCGCGCUCCCUCGGCCGCACGGACGGAUUGGAUUCCCUGAGAAAAUUCCAGAGGCGCUUCCAGUGUUUCAAAGGAAAAUGAAGCCCCUUUGGAAAUGUGAAGCUCCGAGAUAAUGACCGGAUCGCUCCAGGACUGGAUGGGAACAGGUUUUCCCUGGCCAGGAUCUCCCGAAAAUUCCUCAAAAAAAGGUGGGAUGAGAGGGGUCUGUUCAUCCUUGCAAGAUUCCAGCCUCCACUCUUCUCCGGGCCAUGGAGAAAAUUCCAAAGGCAUAACGAGAACCACUCCAAAAGGAGAAGAAACUCCAGGGAAGUUUCUCCCUUCAUCACAACACAAAAUUCCAGGGAAUGCAGGACCAGGAGGGAUCCAUGGAUAUCUUUAAAAAAUGGGAUUUUGGAGCUGCUGUUAAAACGUAAUUUAUAUCCCAAAUAUCUGAAUAUUAAACCUGGAUCAGGCGGCAACUCCAAGGAUCCACAGAACGGGAAUAUCCCAAUGUUUGCUCUCUCCAAAUCUGAGAUUUCCUCCCUGCGAAGGGAGCUGGGAUUUAUCCCCGUUAUCCCGAAUUUCCAUCCUUCUCCCUGUGCUGGAGAUUCCCACCUGCUCCCUUCCACCUCUCUGCUCCUGCCCCUCUUCCCAACUCACCCCAAAAUCCUUGGGAAAAGAGGUUUUAAAUCCCAAGGGCGUUUGUGGAGCAGGGAUUCGAGGAUGGAGUCGAGGCCGGUUUCACCCGCCCAUGGCUCCGCUCUCAUCCUUGAAUCCUGACAGUUUUCCUUUCUGAGCCCACCAGAAAAACAGGGAAAAGGGGGGAGGAAAGGAACCAAACCAAGCCCCAAAUGCCAACCUCAUCCAGAGGAAAUUCCAGGUGGGAUUUGCUGCCGAAUCCAAGGGUCCUCCUGGACACCAGCCUGGGGCUACUCUUUCCUCAAGGAUUCCUAAAAUUCCCCUUUUCUCUCCAAGAUCUUUUUGAAAUUCCAUUUUUUUGGCUCAAACAGCCCAAAUUCCAGGACCCUCCUGUCCACCCCACACCCCCCCCAGCUUCCAGCACCUCCAUCCCACUGGUCAAGGAGCCUUAAAAACAGGGAAAAGCCUCUGGAAUGAGGCCCCGGAGCAGGGAUGUCACCUCGAGGACAAGAGGUGGCCCAGAAAAGCGGGAUUGGGAAGGGAUGGGAGCCUGUUCCAUGGGGAAUCAAAGGGAUUUUUUAUCAAAGCAAGGAGGGAUUUUCUUCUCCAUUCCCAGAAAAAAGAGAGGGAAGUUGAUGAGUGAGGAAGGGACUGGGAAAGAGGAAGAAAAGAGAGUUUCCCAGAUCAAAUUUUUCCUGGUUUGGGGAAGUUUUAGGAAGUUUGGGGGAGUUUUCCACUUCCCUUAAGGAUGUGGAAUGAAGCCAAAAGCACCAUGGCUCCGUUCCUUCCCAAAAUCCUUCAUCCCUUUUCCAACAGAACCACUCUGGGUCUUCCCAACUGCUGAUGGGGCCUGGUGGUUCCAAGGAAACCAAACGGCCCCGUGGAAAUCCGAGGAAUAAAUCGGGAUAUCGCUCCUGGCUGACA
ensembl:lncRNA